CUGAAGUGGUCUGGGUGCCUAGAGUGGUCCUUUAAGUUCAAGGCGAAGCUAUGCUUUAUGACCGUGUGUAGAAUGAUUGCCUUCAGGGGGUGACAGGGUGAGUAAAGGAGUAACUGUGGCAGGGUAAGUGUAAAAAGAGCAGGAGGGUGCCAGAGUGCGGAGAGUGGUGCCCGUGUGUUUAGAGGGAGAGAGUGUGUAUGGAGGGGGGUGACAGUGUGUGCGGAGAGAGGUGACAGAGUGUGUGGGGGUGACAUAGUGUGAGG